rnacentral:rRNA from 1 species
GACGAACGCUGGCGGCGUGCCUAAUACAUGCAAGUAGAACGAGUUGCGAACGGGUGAGUAACGCGUGGUAACCUGCCUCAUAGCGGGGGAUAACUAUUGGAAACGAUAGCUAAUACCGCAUACUUUGAGAUGGACCUGCGUUGUAUUAGCUAGUUGGUGAGGUAAAGGCGCACCAAGGCGACGAUACAUAGCCGACCUGAGAGUGUGACCAGCCACGCUGGAACUGAGACACGGUCCAGACUCCUACGGUAGGCAGCAGUGGGGAAGAUUGCACAAUGGGCGCAAGCCUGAUGCAGCCAUGCCGCGUGUAUGAAGAAGGCCUUCGGGUUGUGAAGUACUUUCAGCGUGGAGGCGUUACCCGUAGAAGAAGCACCGGCUAACUCCGUGCCAGCCGCCGCGGUAAUAC